rnacentral:rRNA from 1 species
UGGGGAAUAUUGCACAAUGGGCGCAAGCCUGAUGCAGCCAUGCCGCGUGUAUGAAGAAGGCCUUCGGGUUGUAAAGUACUUUCAGCGGGGAGGAAGGCGAUAAGGUUAAUAACCUUGUCGAUUGACGUUACCCGCAGAAGAAGCACCGGCUAACUCCGUGCCAGCAGCCGCGGUAAUACGGAGGGUGCAAGCGUUAAUCGGAAUUACUGGGCGUAAAGCGCACGCAGGCGGUCUGUCAAGUCGGAUGUGAAAUCCCCGGGCUCAACCUGGGAACUGCAUUCGAAACUGGCAGGCUAGAGUCUUGUAGAGGGGGGUAGAAUUCCAGGUGUAGCGGUGAAAUGCGUAGAGAUCUGGAGGAAUACCGGUGGUGAAGGCGGCCCCCUGGACAAAGACUGACGCUCAGGUGCGAAAGCGUGGGGAGCAAACA